rnacentral:rRNA from 1 species
CCUACGGGAGGCAGCAGUGGGGAAUUUUCCGCAAUGGGCGAAAGCCUGACGGAGCAAUACCGCGUGAGGGAGGAAGGCUCUUGGGUUGUAAACCUCUUUUUUCAGGGAAGAUAAUGACGGUACCUGAGGAAUAAGCAUCGGCUAACUCCGUGCCAGCAGCCGCGGUAAUACGGAGGAUGCAAGCGUUAUCCGGAAUGAUUGGGCGUAAAGCGUCCGCAGGUGGUUUUAAAAGUCUGUUGUUAAAGCGUGAGGCUUAACCUCAUAAGGGCAAUGGAAACUGUAAGACUAGAGUACGUUCGGGGCAAGGGGAAUUCCCAGUGUAGCGGUGAAAUGCGUAGAGAUUGGGAAGAACACCGGUGGCGAAAGCGCCUUGCUAGGCCGUAACUGACACUGAGGGACGAAAGCUAGGGGAGCGAAUGGGAUUAGAUACCCCAGUAGUCCUAGCCGUAAACGAUGGAUACUAGGCGUUGUCUGUAUCGACCCGGACAGUGCCGUAGCUAACGCGUUAAGUAUCCCGCCUGGGGAGUACGCACGCAAGUGUGAAACUCAAAGGAAUUGACGGCNGAGANGCACGCGACACGAGGAGAG